ACAAUACAUCCAAUAACAGCAAAAAGCAAUCUUAUCAUAAUAUAACACAUAUAAAUGUGAUUAGCAUUAAGUUUACAAUGAGAUAAAAAGCUCUACAAGUGUAUAGUAAUGAAGCAUCGCAUGGGCUUCAUUACUCCGAGAACUAGAUCCACUGAACUAUGCUUCUUCUUUUUUGUCCUGAUGCUUGUGAAGAAACAUGAAAGGCCAGCAUCUGCACGUUAUACAACAAAAUGGUUAGGAACAAAAUAAAAAUAAUCUAACAACAUAUUUAACAGUAAAUAACAAAUAAUGCAAUAAAUUGGUACAAAGCAAGGUACAAUGCAUAGGCCAGAGCAACAGUAACUUGGUACUAAAUCUAGAAAUCACCAUUUGAAAUAAAUUUAAUAGGACAUUUUAGAAUCAAUUUGUCAGCUCACAGUAAUGUUUGCAUUGGACACAUCCAGAACUAAAAUUAUAUAGAAAUUCCUAAAUUCCAAUGCCCAAUGCCCGAAAUGUAAGAUGUUGGUUCUAGAAAAUAAUAACUUGCAACCAGAUUGAAAACAGAUUAACAAGGUGAUGCUAUGACCAAAUCCUAACCAGAAUGCAUUUAAUAAAAUGGAUUGCUUCUGGCUGUUGUACUAGAAUGCAUUUAACCAGAUUUAAUGCAUUUAAUAUAUAUACAUGCUAACGACAUGUAGGUUUCAUCAGGUCAUGAUCAAGUACUCCAAAUCAUUGCAUGCUUUGCAAAAAAUACUAGAUGAAUCUCACUAAUAGGAGCACUAGAUGAUUAAUGGAAGAAGUAAUCUGCAGAUUACACAGUGAACAAGUGAAGGAUUUAUAUCUCUCCCUGUGGAAGAACUAAGUCGACGAAGACAUGCAGCAGCAGGAGAAGCCUUGCAUCAUCAGUGUAAUGAGAAAAUUGGUUAUUGCAGAGUUCAUCACAAUGAGAUUACUGCAACAGCAAACUAUACUAGCACCAGAGAAAAUGGAACCAAAUGAUUAUUAUUACUAUAAAAUUAAAAGGAAGCUCAACUUAUAUCCAUGNNNNNNNCAGGAGAAGCCUUGCACCAUCGGUGUAAUGAGAAAACUCGUUAUUGCAGAGUUCAUCAGAGUGAGAUUACUGCAGCAGCAAACUAUACUAGCAAGAGAGAAAAUGGAACCAAAUGAUUAUUAUUAGUAUAAAAUUAAAAGGAAGCUCAACUUAUAUCCAUGGUUUCCCUCUUGUGAAGCAAGCAUCAAACAACACAAUAGCAAUGAAAUUGCACAUCCGAAUCGAACAAGACGUGAUGGGGUGUUGUGUCGAGAAAAAUGCAAGUAUUUUGUGCACAUCACAUCAGAUCUGCAUGGGUAGAAAGACGAAGUGGAGCUCACCACAUGUGGGCGUAGGAGAGAUAGGUUGAGCAUCCAUGAGAAGUUGUCCACCUGCAGCAACAGCUUGUCCGCGUCAUAGCAACCUGCACGCAAAACAAACGCAAGGAUCAAAAGAUGUAGAAACUAAAGCUGGAAGUCGCNNNNNNNNNNNNNNNNNNNNNNNNNNNNNNNNNNNNNNNNNNNNNNNNNNNNNNNNNNNNNNNNNNNNNNNNNNNNNNNNNNNNNNNNNNNNNNNNNNNNAAAUAUGUCAACUAACGACCUUCCAUAUUGGUCACCGAAUGGUCAUUGAUUUCCAUUUGCGACCUUUUUACGACCAAAAACAGAUGGUCAAAAGCCGAGGGUCUCUAAUGAACUAUAACGACCUUUUUGCUAGAUUGGUCGUAGGAUUUUACGACCAAACGAAAGAAUUGAAAUUAUUUUGGUCGUUGGUUGUCUGCCCAACCCACAUCGGAUCCAACGUGGCAAUCUGACGUGGCAAAGUUACGACCAAUUGGAUUGGUCGUUGGUAAGAAUCAGCCCGGUCCAAUUCGGUGUUUUACAUGGGCCGAGCCCAACAAAUCAGCCUUUUUAUUAUUUUUUCCUAUUAAUUUUCAUCAGCUAAAUGGGUCAGGCCCAACAUUUUAGCCUUUUUAUUUUUGGGCUGUAGCCUUUGUUUUUUGUUUUUUUAAUGCACCCCAAUUGUCAAGUUCUGGUAAGUGGGUCCCACAUGUCACAUUCUGCUUUUUGGGCCCGUGUUGUCAAGGUCAUGUUUUUCAGAUUUCAAUAUGCUCAUAAUUAAACAACCAAUAUUUAAAUAAAAAUAGACAAAAAAAAGACACAAUACAUCCAAUAACAGCAAAAAGCAAUCUUAUCAUAAUAUAACACAUAUAAAUGUGAUUAGCAUUAAGUUUACAAUGAGAUAAAAAGCUCUACAAGUGUAUAGUAAUGAAGCAUCGCAUGGGCUUCAUUACUCCGAGAACUAGAUCCACUGAACUAUGCUUCUUCUUCUCCGAUACUUGUGAAGAAACCUGAAAGGCUAGCAUCUGCACGAUAUACAACAAAAUGGUUAGGAACAAAAUAAAAAUAAUCUAACAGCAUAUUUAACAGUAAAUAACAAAUAAUGCAAUAAAUUGGUACAAAGCAAGGUACAAUGCAUAGGCCAGAGCAACAAUAAAUUGGUAUUAAGUACAGAAAUCACCAUCUGAAAUAAAGUUAAUAGGACAUUUUAGAAUCAAUUUGUCAGCUCACAGUAAUGUUUGCAUUGGACACAUCUAGGACUAAAAUUAUACUGAAAUUCCUAAAUUCC
rnacentral:lncRNA from 1 species